rnacentral:pre_miRNA from 1 species
UUACAUACCUGUCGUAUACGUCGGUUUUGUUUAUAAUAACAUAAGUUUAGUCACUGUUUCAGUACGUGUUUGUGUUCUGCAUUGAUCUUAUGUGAAAACAAAACCGACGUAUAUGACAGGUAUGUAAAAU